AGAAUGCACAGGUCACAACGGGAGCAAACUAAGGAGCUUAGAAAAGGUUCCUAUCUGUGGUCUCUGGGCUGAAUCUUUUAGACACCCAGUAGAACUAGCUUUGCCAAGAAAGCAGAAAGGGGGAUUCAUGUUACCACGCACACCGUAAGCAAAAGCACUGAGACACAGGGCAGUACAACGUGCAGGGCUCCAAGUACAAGAUGGAGAACCACGGACAGAGGCAAGCGUUGUGUGUGUAUGGCACAGGUAAGGCAGGUGUUGGGCUUGGCUUGUGCCCAAGCAUCUAGGAGCCACCCUGGGCUGCACAGAUCGUCUGUUUUCACUGAGUCCCCAAGUGGCAAAUUGAAG
rnacentral:lncRNA from 1 species